AAACUUUCUACACAACAUAACAGUAGAGAUAGCUAAUGAAGGAGGAUACACUCAAAUAAAAGAAAUACUAUUAACUGGUGGAGGAGAAGAGACUGGAAAAGUGGACUGGAUCAGUACUAGUGUAUCCCUGAAAAACCAUCAGCAGGUCAAUGUCAGGAAGUGAUCAGUCAAUUAACGGACAGUCAUCAGAACAUUAUCCUUCAUCACUCAUCACCUGAUAUUGUAUACCUACUGAUAUCCCUAGUAUUAGACAUAAGAACAAUGAAAUGGAUUGGUAUACAUAACACUAAAAUAACAAAAGAUGUCAUCCUCUUAUCACACAAAAUAACAAACAAUACUUCAUUAGAGGCACUAUCGAUCAGUGAUGAUUCCAUCAAUGAUGAUGGAGUCAUUGCACUAACACAAUCAUUAAUUAAUAAUAAAACAACUACUACCUUAGGUCUUAAUUACAAUCCUGAUAUCACUUCAACCAGUGCUCAGUCACUAGCUGAACUUUUACUCUACAACCACACACCAUUUUACCUUUAUCUCAAUGGUACUAACAUUGAUACUGAUGGAGUACUGGUACUGAUGGAAUCUCUUAGGACCAAUAAUACACUAUGGACACUAGCUCUAGACAAUAAACAUAGACAAACUUGUUAUUCUUUACCUUAUUAUAAAACUAUUAAAAACA